AGGGAUCAUUACAGAGUUCAUGCCCUCCGGGUAGAUCUCCCACCCGCUGCUAUCACUACUCUCGUUGCUUUGGCGGGCCGCUGGGCCCUGCCCGGCCGCCGGCCCCGGCUGGCGCGUGCCCGCCAGAGACCUCACAGACUCUGAAUGUUAGUGUCGUCCGAGUAACUAUACAAUCGUUAAAACUUUCAACAACGGAUCUCUUGGUUCUGGCAUCGAUGAAGAACGCAGCGAAAUGCGAUAAGUAAUGCGAAUUGCAGAAUUCAGUGAGUCAUCGAAUCUUUGAACGCACAUUGCGCCCUGUGGUAUUCCGCAGGGCAUGCCUGUUCGAGCGUCAUUUCAACCCUCAAGCCUCGCUUGGUGUUGGGCCCUGCCCGCCGCGGCCGGCCCUAAAGACAGUGGCGGCGCCGCCUGGCCCUCAGCGUAGUACAGCUCUCGCUCCAGGGUCCGGCGGCAGCCUGCCAGAACCCCCCAACUCUGUGGUUGACCUCGGAUCAGGUAGGGAUACCCGCUGAACUUAA
rnacentral:misc_RNA from 1 species